rnacentral:rRNA from 1 species
CCUACGGGGGGCAGCAGUAGGGAAUCUUCCACAAUGGGCGAAAGCCUGAUGGAGCAACGCCGCGUGGGUGAAGAAGGUCUUCGGAUCGUAAAACCCUGUUGUUAGAGAAGAAAGUGCGUGAGAGUAACUGUUCACGUUUCGACGGUAUCUAACCAGAAAGCCACGGCUAACUACGUGCCAGCAGCCGCGGUAAUACGUAGGUGGCAAGCGUUAUCCGGAUUUAUUGGGCGUAAAGGGAACGCAGGCGGUCUUGUAAGUCUGAUGUGAAAGGCUUCGGCUUAACCGGAGUAGUGCAUUGGAAACUGGGAGACUUGAGUGCAGAAGAGGAGAGUGGAACUCCAUGUGUAGCGGUGAAAUGCGUAGAUAUAAGGAGGAACACCAGUGGCGAAGGCGGCUCUCUGGUCUGUAACUGACGCUGAGGUUCGAAAGCGUGGGUAGCAAACAGGAUUAGAUACCCCUGUAGUC